UUUUGUAUUUUUAUUUUUUCACAUUUUCAAGCUUUAAAACGGGUCACUUUUGACCCGCAGGAGGACACGAGGGUUAACUGAUGUUAUGCUAAAAAGUUAUUGCUUUGGCUCAGGGGCCCCCUGCUGGAAUAAUCCGUUCAUAAUCCCUAUUACCCAGAUAACAGCUUUCCACGACACGCGUAGACUGUGUACUAGAUGUUGAAAAAGGUUGCCAAAGUUGUCAAAGCCUCAUCAAAAGUACUCUGAAAAUCCAUCAUGGUAAUAAACAUGAUAUCCAGGUCCGUGUACGGAUCUGGUAAUUGGAUUUUCCGUUCUGAAACGGGUAUUGAAAAACAAAAAAGUAGUGGUUAUUUGAUUUUCGUUUUAAAAUAAAAAAAUUAAAAUUGAAAUACAAGGCGUUUUUCCUUUUCAUGAUCAAAAAGGGAUAUACGAUUUUUUUUUUUAAAUGCUUGAUUUUCGUUUUAUAUUUAGAAUAAAAAGAAAGUAAAAUUAGUAAGAGACAGAAACGAAAAAAGGUCAGUUUUUUCAUUUUCUGAGACCGGAAGUUGUCAUCAGCAAGUGUGGAGCCAGAGUAAGGUGCAUAGACUAUAUAUACAUUUUUUUUCGUUAGUUUUCAUGGUCAAAAUGAGAGAUCAGGUGGCCGAUCCUAAAAUAAAUCAAUAUUGAUUUUUUUUUUUUUUUUUAUAGAGCGUUAAAGUUUUGCGAAGCCAGGAGGCGGGGCUACUUGAUUGAAAGUCCGGUCUGGAGUGAUUGACAGGUCUUAUGGAGGAGACAGCAGAGACUCUGCUCUCCUCGUUUGGAUUAAUUCUGAUAUAAUAACUGUUGGUUUAUUUAUCAGUGGAGCAGCACAACAUUUUCCACAGACAGUUUUCCUGCCCGUUGGCUUGUUUUAACCAGUUUUCUACCUUCGGCUGAUUCUACCAGCAGACACUGAAAGGACUCUGAUAGUUUGAGUGAAAGUAGCAGUUCCUCCUGAAGGUCAGAGAUUGCAGCAUCUGAGGGCCUCUUCAAAAGAAGAUGUAGUUGAUGAAGGCGUUCUGGAGCAGGACCAGAAAGACCACAACCAAGCAGCCUUCAGAUCUUAGGCAGCAUCUCCCUGAGGUCCCUCUCUAUCUCCCCACACAUCCACCAACCACUGGAACACAUCUCCAAAGUUCUGCCGGGCCAGCUCAGCUUCCCCUCAGAAGAAGUGCUGCCACCUGCCAGAUGAAGGAGCCUUUUGAGAGGCAGCUGGCAUCGUGAUUGGACUGUACUUUGGUCUGUUCCAAUCCAGCUUCAGCUCCAGAGACGGCAGGCGGGACGAGUCAACGGAGGCCUGGUGGACGAAGACAUGCAGCUGAGUACAAUCCAGAAAACAACAGAGGAGGAGUGCAGGGCCCUGGGCCAGAACACACAGAGUAGCACAUUAUGUCUCUUAGAAAACAUCAUAUACAUCAUAUAUUGUACAAAUAACAAGUCAAAGGAAAAAGACAUUGUAGAAUUGUAGUAAUUGUGGGCUGACUGAUUUACUGAUUAUCAGUAUUUUUUUUUUACUGAUUUACGGUAAUAAAUACAUUUAAAAAUUG